GCCCCCGUAGCUCAGUGGAUAGAGCGUCGGUUUCCUAAACCGUGCGUCGCUGGUUCGAGUCCAGUCGGGGGCACCG
rnacentral:tRNA from 1 species